CCUACGGGUGGCAGCAGUGGGGAAUAUUGCACAAUGGGCGCAAGCCUGAUGCAGCCAUGCCGCGUGUAUGAAGAAGGCCUUCGGGUUGUAAAGUACCUUCAGCGGGGAGGAAGGUGUUGUGGUUAAUAACCACAGCAAUUGACGUUACCCGCAGAAGAAGCACCGGCUAACUCCGUGCCAGCAGCCGCGGUAAUACGGAGGGUGCAAGCGUUAAUCGGAAUUACUGGGCGUAAAGCGCACGCGGGCGGUCUGUCAAGUCGGAUGUGAACUCCCCGGGCUCAACCUGGGAACUGCAUUCGAAACUGGCAGGCUAGAGUCUUGUAGAGGGGGGUAGAAUUCCAGGUGUAGCGGUGAAAUGCGUAGAGAUCUGGAGGAAUACCGGUGGCGAAGGCGGACCCCUGGACAAGGACUGACGCUCAGGUGCGAAAGCGUGGGGCGCAAACAGGAUUAGAUACCCCUGUAGUC
rnacentral:rRNA from 1 species